GUGCUCACUUCAGCAAUACAUAUACUAAAAUUAAAACAAUGCAGAGAUUUGUGUGGCCCAUGUGCAAGGAUGACCUGCAAAUUCAUGAAGCAUUCCAUAUUUUU
rnacentral:snRNA from 1 species